GCGCCGGCUGGGAAUGUACUAUUUCAAAGAAGUGAUUUCAACCAGCUAAGUUUUCUUUUCCUAAGAAAAGAAAGAGGAGAAUGUCAACCCCAGGGGCACAAUCAAACACAGCACAGUCAGCUAAUCAAAACAAGCAGAUCAGCUACUAUGGUGGUGCAGAGGUCACCUGUAUCCCAUAUUGGAGUGCCAGUUCCAGUUCUUGCUGCUCUGCUUCCAAUCUAGCUUCCUCCUAAGGCACCUAGGAAGGCAGCAGAUGAUGGCCCAAGUGCUUGUACCCUUGCCACCCAUGUGGGAGAUCAGGACGGAGUUCUUCACUCCUGGAUUCAGCCUGGCCCAGCACUGGAUGUUUUGGCCAUUUGGGUCUGUCAGUAAGCACAGAAAAAAGGCACAAAAAAUUGUCACUCAUAGUAUAAGAGCUCUAAGAAAUCUCUCAUGUAAUAUCAGAAAAUUUCUAAUUUUCUGUUACCUUCAAAUGCAUCUUAAACUAUGGGGCAGUUUUAAAAUUAUAUGCUUCCUAGCCGGCGCCGCGGCUCACUAGGCUAAUCCUCCGCCUUGUGGUGCCGGCACACUGGGUUCUAGUCCCAGUCGGGGCGCCGGAUUCUGUCCCAGUUGCCCCUCUUCCAGGCCAGCUCUCUGCUGUGGCCCAGGAAGGCAGUGGAGGAUGGCCCAAGUGCUUGGGCCCUGCACCCCAUGGGGCACCAGGAUAAGUACCUGGCUCCUGCCAUCGGAGCAGUGUGGUGCGCCAGCCGUGGCGGCCAUUGGAGGGUGAACCAAUGGCAAAGGAAGACCUUUCUCUCUGUCUCUCUCUCUCACUGUCCACUCUGCCUGUCAAAAAAAAAUUAUAUACUUCCUUGGUGAAACACAUUUCUCUUGCCUUAAUCAAGAAUUCCAAAUAUUCAUAAUUCUUAGCUAGGUAAAAUAAAAAGUCAGUUAUCUAUGCAUAUAUAUCUGUCUAUGAAGGGACUUCAACAAGUUUAUGGGAAAAAUGAAACUGAAAAAUAAGGUUUUUUAAAAUUUUUAUUUAUUUCAGAGACAGAGGCAAAGAGAGGGACAGAGAAAGAGAGAGUAUUCUCAUCUACUAAUUCACACACUAAAUGCCCACAGUAGCUGGAAUUGACUCAGGCUGAAGCCAAGAACCAGGAACUCAAUCCAGUUCUCAUACUUGAGUGGCAAGAACUCAACUAUUGGAGCUAUCACCUUCUGCCUCCCAGAAUAUGCAUUGACAGCGAGCUGAAUUAGGAGGGAAGCCAGGACUUGAGCCUAGGCAACUGCAAUAUGGGAUGCAGGAACUUAACCAGCAUCUUAACAAUCAGGCUAAAUACUUGGGCCAAUAAGUUUGUUUGGGUGCAAACAAUUUUGAAAUCCAUGUAUGGGUUUUUUUAUAAAAUACAUUUUUCAUGAACUUUUUGAAGAUGCCACAUAUGCAUGGAUUUACAAUUUUAUUGUACCAAAAUAAAAUAAAAAAAAGUAGCCAUUUUUUUUGAAAAGUAAAGUAACAGAGAGUGAAAGCAAGAGCAAAAGUGAGAGAAACAGGGCUGGCGCUGCGGCUCAAUAGGCUAAUCCUCCGCCUUGCGGCGCCAGCACACCAGGUUCUAGUCCCGGUCGGGGCGCCGGAUUCUUUCCUGGUUGCCCCUCUUCCAGGCCAGCUCUCUGCUGUGGCCCAGGAAGGCAGUGGAGGAUGGCCCAAGUGCUUGGGCCCUGCACCCCAUGGGGGACCAGGAGAAGCACCUGGCUCCUGUCUUCAGAUCAGCGUGGUGCACCAGCCGCAGCGCGCCAGCCAUGGUGGCCAUUGGAGGGUGAACCAAUGGCAAAAGGAAGACCUUUCUGUCUCUCUCUCUCUCACUAUUCACUCUGCCUGUAAAAAAAAAAAAAAAAAAAAAAAGUGAGAGAAACAGGACACAGAGAGAGAGAUUUUCCAUCUGCUGGUUCACUCCCCGAACAGCUGAAACAGCCAGGUCUGGGCCAUGAUUGAAGCCAGGAGCCAGGAACUCCAUCCUGGUCUCCACAUGGAUGGCAGGGGCCCAAGUACCUGCGGCAUCUUCCCUUGGUUUCCCAGGCACAGUAACAAGGAGUUGGAUAGAAGUAGCGUAGCUGGAAUUCAAACUGAGGCUCUGAUAUGGCAUGCCAGUGUCACAAACAGCAGCGUCAUCUGCUGUUCCACAAUGCCAAGCCCUAAAUAAGCAUUCCCUUUAACCCUAUUUUCCAUUAAUUUUUGAAAAUCCUCUCAUAUCUAUGUAUAUUUAUAUGUGUGGUAGGUAUCUAUGAUGUCUUACAAGUAUCAGCUACAAGCCAAAAAGUCAUUUGACAGAUACCAAUCAAGGUAUAAAGCAUGCAACUAGAUUAGAAGUAAACAUACCUUUGGGGGUCAUAAUUAUUUCACAAGGUGUACAAAUAGAAAAAUACAGAGGGAUCCAGAAAGAUAUUUAAAUUGUAAUUUUGUCCUUGUUUUUCAAGAUUUAUUUGUUUAUUUGAAAAUCGGAUUACAGAGAGAGGGAGAAACAGAGAGCAAGAGAUCUUCCAUCUUUUGGUUCACUCCCUAGGUGGCUGCAAUGACCAGGGCUGGGCCAGGCUGAAGUCAGGAGCUUCAUCUGGGUCUCCCACAAGAGUAGCAGGGGCCUAGUUAGACCAUCUUCCGCUGCUUUUUCCAGGUCAUUAGCAGGGAGUUGGAUCAGAAGUGGGCACCCACAUGGGACCCCGCUUUGCAGGCAGCAGCUUUACCUGCUAUUCCAUAAUGCUGGCCCCAAUUUUGUCCUUUGACAGAUACAGACUGCCAUGUUCCUUGGGCUUCCAUUGAUGACACAGACCUCAACUUCAGCAACAUCUAAAAUAGUCUCUAACUGGAUAUAAGAUUUCAAAGCACGUAUUUCAGGACUCAUUUGUCACAAUACCACCAAACGUACAUUUCUUAGGUCUGCAUAUCAAAAAUCUCUGCUUUAUAUUACUGGAUUUACUAGAAAACGUCUUCCACCUAAUUGUAUUAUCUCCAGCCAUCUCAUUCUUGAGUAGUAAUGUGUGUGAGCCAUCUUUGACCUGCUGCUUAAUGCUAUUUCCUGUAAAAACUGUUCUUCAGAUCUCAUUUUCCUUCAGAAAUUUCCUCAUACAUAAAUCAUAAGCCUUACAUAACAUUCAAUGUCUCUAAACCUAGGCAAAGUGAGAUUUUUCACAUCAACGUUUCACCUGCAAAAUCCCUAAGGACCAGCUGACAUAGAGGCUAAUCCCAGCAACAGGCACUGUGCUGAGUGGAAGCUGGGAGCAAGGAACUCAGUCACUUGGGCCAUCACUGUGGCAUCUGAGUGUCUGCAUGAGCAGGAACCUUUGUCAGCAGGAGCUGCAGCUGGGCAUCAGGCCAGGUGUGAAGACAGCUGCGCAGCUACAACACCCGCACAGUAAUUCCAGCUCCUUUUCUUGCAAAGGCAAGACUGACUUCAAUCCAGACACCAGAGCUUUGCUUUGUUUAAAGGUGGAUGGGAUGCUAAUGUGAAGAUGUGACUCAGUUCUUCGCAUCCUCUGCCAGGGUGAUGGACUGGGGAGAGUUCAGAACAGCAGUACUUAUGUAAGUAAACCCUUUAUAGGGUGUAAUUGUCAAAACCCAGCAAGUGGGGCUUGCCUCCCCAUUUCUAUUCAGUUACCUUCUUCCCAUUCCCAGAUGGGCAUCUGAGCAAACACUGGGUCUCUGCCUAAAGUCUCCGGCUUCUUUUCCUCCUGUCUUAUAUGUUUUCUCUUCACCCCUUCCCAGACAGCUGUACUCCUCUUCACUUUGAAUUUUUGCAGAGUUGACAACACUUCCUCUCACCCCUCAUUUUCAAUCUCUUCCCAUUGCUUCCAUUUCCUGAUCAUCUGAUGAUAGUCUGUCAUUUUUUUCACCGAAACAGCGAUGGAUGGAGCCCUCUGACAAAUAAAAUCCAGAAGAGACAGACCCACAAAAGGGACUGACAUCUCUGCUCCCCCACAAUGGAAGGAAGAAGCAGCACUUCCUGGCCUGGCUAACCAGGGACCAAGCUGGGUACAUUGAGAGAAUGCCAACUCUCACUCUGAGAUCAGCUACUCUUAGAAGAGGAUGGGGAGGGCAUUUGGCGCAGCUGUUAAGACACCAUCUCAGGGGCCAGCGCCAUUUCAGGGGCCGGCGCCAUGGCUCACUGGGUUAAUCCUCUGCCUGUGGCACCGGCAUCCCAUAUGGGCGCCAGGUUCUAGUCCUGGUUGCUCCUCUUCCAGUCCAGCUCUCGCUGUGGCCCAGGAGAGCAGUGGAGGAUGGCCCAAGUGCUUGGGCCCUGCACCCGCAUGGGAAACCGGGAGGAAGCUCCUGGCUCCUGGCUUUGGAUCGGCGUAGUACCGGCUGUAGCAGCCAUUUGAGGGGUGAACCAACGGAAGGAAGACCUUUCUCUAUGUCUUUCUCACUGUCUAACUCUAUCUGUCAAAUAAAUAAAAUUUAUAUAUUAAAAAAAAGACACCAUUUCAGACACCUGUAGACACCUGUAUCCCAUAUCAGAGAGUGUUAGUUGGAGUUCUAGCUCCACUCCUGAUGAGAUCGGGAGACUUGGAUUGAAUUCCUGGUUCUUGUCUCUGGCUUGAUUCUUUCCUAGCUAUUGUGGGCCUUUUGGUGGUGAACCAGAAUAAGGAAGAUCUCUAUCUGCCUUUCAAAUAAAUAAAUAAAUAAAAUGUAAAAACAAAAACAGGGUGGUUAUUUGAAAAUGUAUAUUAUAAUGGAGUGCAAGGUGUGUAGCACAGCCUUUAGCUCAGCAACUUGCAGGCUAUGUGGUCUCAUGCAAUGAUUUUUUCUCUGUAAAUAUCAGUUUUUAUAAAUGUAAAAUGGGCUAAUAAAGUAUUUUCUUCAAUGAAAGGCAGGAUCUUUUUUUCUAUUUCACUGGUUAUGAAAUUGGGACACCCCUCAAUCCGUGCUGGUUUUGGUUGUCUGUAUCCUAGUGACUUCCUUUUGGGGUUGUUGAGAGGCUUACAGGUGACAGUGCCUGUAAAAUGCGCUUCAUCGGUGGGGAUUUCUCUAGUGCAGAUGCUUUGUCUGCAGGAAGGAAAGGAAGGCCUGUUAGAAUCCGUGGGAAAGGGAGAUGAUGUUUGUGUUGGUGGGACAGAGGUGUAUGUGUGUGUGUUCAUUUCACUCACAAGUCUUCAACCUGGGCAGGGCUUAGUGGAGACAGCUCAUCUCUGUUCCAGGAGGCCCCAGACCCAGAAGCGUGAGUAGGCUGGAGGACCAGCUUCCAAGGUGGCUCUCCUGUAUGCGGGCUGUGGUAUUUUUAAAAGUUUUUAAAAUUUCAACAUUUAUUUUAUUUUGCUAUAACUUAUGCAUCAUAAAACCAACCAGUUUAAAAUGUGCAUUUCAAUAAUUUCUUUUAGUAAAUAUAUCCAAUACAAACAUCACUAUCAUCCAGAAUUAGAACAGCUCCUUCACCCCAAAUCAUUCCUUUGUGUUUGUUUGCAGUGAAUCUCCACUUGCAUUCUCAAACUUAAACAAAUGCUCGUCUGCUUUAUUUUGGUCUUUAUAAAUUCAUCUUUGUUGCACAUCUCAUAUAAAUGAAAUCAUACAAUAUGAAGGGUUUUUGUAUUUGGGCUGUUUUACCAUUAUUUUGUUAAGGCUUGUGGUUUUUUGUUUGCUUGUUUUUAAGUGGUAAGCGUGCUAGCAAUAGAAAUAAUGAAGAGAGUACACCUGGCAGAUCAGGUGGGCAUCUCAGUAAAGAACAGAGAGCCCAGUAUGCAUUCAGACUGGAGUUUUUACAGAUGCUGGGUGUGGGCCUUUCUCCUUCCCCAAUACCCUUUCUGGAAUACUGCCUGGUGGAGGACUUUCUGGAUGUAGAAUCCCACCCAGCACUUCAUAACAGUCCCCUGGGUGAAGGGCAGAUGAGAUUCCCUUAAGCUGCCCCUAGGGAGAAGACAGGGACUCAUCCAACCGGGUUUUUGAACAAUGGCAAGACUUGAGAUAUAUAAAUUAUGGUUUGCUGCCAAAGCUUGCUUUCUUGUCCCAUCACACAGAAAUUCCCAUUUUUCUUCAGCCCCUUACACAUACAUAGGCUCAUGUCUACCCAGCUGCCUUAAUAUUUCUCUCCACCCCAAGAAGUAAUCCAUAAUCUUAUGGGGGUAACAUGGAUGAGAGUUCAUCUUCUAUGUCUUCUUCAGAGCUGACAUAUGGACACAGAGCUGCUUAUGGGUAUUUCUUGCUAGCUGUCCUAGAGUGUUCAGAGGUGGCCUGGGAAAUGAUUGUUUUGCCUGAUGCAGAGGAUUGAUUAUAUCAUCCAAAAGGAUAGCCUGGGAGCCCUGUCUCAUGACCAUCUGGAGUUGGACAGCUUAUACUCUAUUAGAAACAAAAUGAACAGGAGCAUUAAAGAAAGACACAUGGUCCAAAGAGAA